rnacentral:rRNA from 1 species
CUGACCUCAAAUCAGGUAGGACUACCCGCUGAACUUAAGCAUAUCAAUAAGCGGAGGAAAAGAAACUAACAAGGAUUCCCCUAGUAACUGCGAGUGAAGCGGGAAAAGCUCAAAUUUGAAAUCUGGCGGUUCUUGGACCCGUCCGAGUUGUAAUCUAGAGAAGUGUUACCUGUGCUGGACCGUGUACAAGUCUCCUGGAAUGGAGCAUCACAGAGGGUGAGAAUCCCGUCUUUGACAUGGACUGCCUGUACGAUGUGGUGCGCUCUCGAAGAGUCGAGUUGUUUGGGAAUGCAGCUCAAAAUGGGUGGUAAAUGCCAUCUAAAGCUAAAUAUUGGCGAGAGACCGAUAGCGAACAAGUACCGUGAGGGAAAGAUGAAAAGAACUUUGGAAAGAGAGUUAAACAGUACGUGAAAUUGCUGAAAGGGAAACGCUUGAAGUCAGUCRCGUCGGCUGGAAAUCAACCUAUGCUUCUGCUUGGUGUACUUUCUGGUCGACGGGUCAGCAUCAAUUUCGACCAUUGGAUAAAGUCAUUGGGAAUGUGGCAUCUCAGGAUGUGUUAUAGCCCGUUGUCGCAUACUGUGGUUGGGAUUGAGGGACUCAGCACGCCGCAAGGCCGGGUUUCGACCACGUUCGUGCUUAGGAUGCUGGCAUAAUGGCUUUAAUCGACCCGUC